UCUUCUUGUUCUCCUUUUUCUUCUUCUUCUUCUUUAUAUUCAUCAUCAUCUUCAUUAUCUUGUUCAUGUUUAUUUUCUUCUGCUCCCUCCUCCUCCUCCUCCUCCUCCUACCUCCCUGCUAUUAUUGCUCUCCAUUUCCUCCUCUUUCCUACUCUGCUUCCCCUCCAUUUUUUUUCCUCCCUGCCUAGAUUUUUCCUCCACGUCUACCAUAUUUUUCCUCCGGCCUCUCCAUCAUUUUCCCUCCAACAUUUUCCUUCAUCCUACCUACCUUUUUACCUUCCUCCCCUCUUUUUUUCUCUCUCUCCUUUUUUUCUCCCUCCAGUGGACCGCUUCUCUCCUCCUCCCUUUCACUUUCGUUCGCAUUCACUCUACACUCUUUUCACUUUCAUCCCUCCUCCUCCUCCUCUUCCUCCUCCUUCCCCCUUCCAUUUUCUCUCCAGCCAAUCUCUUUUCUCUCUCAUUCUAUCUCCACUUUUACUAUUAUUUCCUUAGUUUCCCUUCAAAUCGGAAUUCUUCUCCUCUCUCUUUCAUUUUUCUUCUGUAAAAGCGUCAAAUAUUCUCCUUCCCUCUCCCUCCCUUCAAAUUUCUACUCCAUUCUACCUCCACUUUUACUAUUAUCUUUCUUUAGCUUCCCUUCAAAUCGUUAUUUUUCAUUUCUCUCUUCCAUUCUUUUGUAUAAGAGUCAAAUCUUCUUAAGCCUCCCUCUCACUCCCUCGUCCAUCUCCCAUUUUCUUUACGUCACACACAGCGGUCCUAAAUCACCUCCUCGUUUACCUGAUUGGCUGUUGGUCAUUUGCUACUUCACGCCAAUUGGUCCUUUAGUGGCGAUAAUGGCGGGAUGAUCUCGCUUGAGUGGCGGAGAGAUGAUCUGAUUGGGGCGACUUCGAGGCUAUGACCAAGCAAGCUAGACUCCGCAUACCGAUCUACCGCCCUCUGUUGGCAUUUGGGAAGACUCGGGGAUACCUGCUUCUAUGGUUGUCUCUUCUCUUGUAGUAGUGUUAGGUUUGUAUUCUUGAACGGGAGAGAGGGUGAGGGAUGAGGGAAGAAGGUGAGACAGGUACAGGAGCUAGACAACACCCUUUCCUCCUCCUCCUCUCUCUACCUACCGCCCUCUAUCGGACUCUGGGAACACCAACUCCUCUGGCUGUCUUCUUGUAGCAACGUUGUCAGUAUUCUUGGACUGUUCAGCCUCUUACAUCACCUAUCUUCUGGAGCUAGACAACACCCCCUCCUCCUCCUCCUCUCUCUACCUACCGCCAUCUAUCGGACUCUGGGAACACCAACUCCUCUGACUGUCUUCUUGUAGCAACGUUGUCAGUAUUCUUGGACUGUUCAGCCUCUUACAUCACCUAUCUUCUGGAGCUAGACAACACCCCCUCCUCCUCCUCUCUCUACAUACCUCCCUCUAUCGGAAUCUGGGAACAAUAACUCCUCUGUCUUGUCUUCUUGUAGCAACGAUAGGUCAAUGUUCUUGGACGGUUCCGCCUCUCACAUCACCUAUCUUCAAAGACCGAAAUGGAAGUCAAACGCGUUCCCAUAGGUGUUUCUUCACGUUCCUGGUACAGAAGCCUGAUCAUACUACCACCGGGAUCAUAAAACUACCCAUGGAAAUGCCCACAACUCCUACGAAAGCUUUGUUAACUGUGUGUGUGCUUGGGCGCCGAAAUGUUUUAAGAGUAGGACCCACUGAGUGAGUUUCUGGUGUCUGCAUUCACGUUUUCUGUGUUCAGUGUUCGGGACAGAGGUACAAGGUUGGGUUUGUAACGUUUUUGAAGACUUAGCAUUUGAUUAGAGUUUUCAGAGGUAUCGUUGAGUGAAGGAAUAUUAUAGUGUUAAGCCGCCUGAUACGACUGAUAAAAUGAUAGUGAAAAUUGGGUCUGAUUACGAGGAUACUGUGGACGAAUGUGUAAAUCAUGGUUGUACAGUAGCAGGGAGCAGACACUGGGACACACACACACACACACACACACACACACACACACACACACACACAAACACACACACACACCUUGAUCUGACUCCUUUACUCUACAAAAGGUUACAUUCCUAUACAUUGCUUAAGAGACUGAAGGAGGGGCGAGGGAGGGGAGAUGAAACGGCGAGGAAAUGGCGAAGUAAAGGCGAAGGGAUGGAGAUGGAGUGAAGAGGAAGUGAUUUGGGAAAGCGAAGUUAGGACGAGAAGGAUGACGGAGUGGCGAAGAAAUGGCGAAGAAAUGGCGAGCGAAUGGCGAGAAGAUGGCUAAGGGGGGUGGCGAAUGAGCGGCGAGGGAAUCACGAAGCAAGGACGAAGGGAGGGCGAAGAAGUGGCGAUAAAGUGGCGAGGGAAUGGCGAUAAGAUGGCGAAGAGGUGGCGACUGGAGAGCCAAAUAAAUGAAGAGGGAGUGACUAGGGAAUGACGAAGGGAUGAAGAGGAGAUGACAAAGAAGUGACGAAGAUGUAAUGGCGAGAGAGUGGCGAAUGGAGUGACGACUGGAACGUUGGAAGUCUGUGUCUGUUGAAGGACAUUCGCUCUUUGCAUGCUCGGCGACUCUCGGAAACGCUCGCCGACUAACGCAGUGCAGAGAGUGAAUAAGUGCAAAUUUUCCCUCUUUGUCCUCUGGGAAAAUGGACGUCAGAUAAGCUUAAAAUACUAUGAGGAAUCCAAUCGCAAUGCUUCCGCGUGUACCAUGGAAAAAUGACCUUAAUCCUGCACAUUUUCUUUUGUUGUUUUAUUCCGUCUGACUGUUUUUCACUUUUUCUUUUCCCAGCAGCGAGGGUUGAGGAGGAGGAGGAGGAGGAGGCGGUGCAGCAGCAAGGGAGGGAUAAUAAAGUUUUCUUAAUGCCGUAAAACUACAAAUGAAUGCGGCUCAGCGCUGGUAAAUAUCCGACUCUUUGCUUCCGGGAUGUCAGAGCCAGGACGAGGCGGAGGACAUUCCCUGAUGAGACUGUCCACCGUGAGACCUUCAUUGCAGAGGUCGUCAGAACGGAUUAAAGAAGAAGAGGAAAGAGAGAGAAAGAAGAGAAAAAGGAGAAGGAAAGAAAGGUAAAAGAGAGAAAGAAAAGCCGUAGAAAAGAGAAAAGUUACAGGAAGAGUGAAAAGAAAAGAGAGAGAAGCAAAAAGAGGAAACUAAAAGGAAAGAAGAAAAAGAGGAACAAAACUUAAUCUAUGUCUUUUUAUUGCCCGAAGAAGAAAUGAAAAAGGAAAUAAAUAAAAUAAAGGAGAGAAGAAGAAUGAAAAGGAAACAAAAGCAAAUCUACUUCUCAUUAUGACCUUAGGAAGAAAAGGGAAAGAAAAGAAGGAAGAGAAAGAAACAAAAGAAAGAUAAGAAAGACAAGAAGGAAAAGAAAGAAAAGAAAAGAAAAAAAGAAGAAAGAGAAGGGAACAAAGGCUUAUUAACGUCUUAUCAAGGUGGAGGGGAUCAACGUACUACCACUCAGUCCACCAAUCAGGCCACGCUUGGCUAAUUAAUCAAACACCUUAGGCCCUUAAACACCUGGAUUUGGACAGGAAGAAGGUGUUUUAAGUCCUUCGAGGGGUUCAAGUCAUUCCUCAGACCUGGCUCCCGUUUUUUUUUGUGUCACACAAAAAAAAACGCAAAUUGUGUGUGUAUGUGUGUAUGUGUGGGGGGGGAAGAGGAAGAGAGAAGUACUUAGAAGCUUACGACAAAUUCUGAACGUUAUACACGGACGAACUCAAGGUCUUUGUGUGUGUGUGUGUGUGUGUUAGUGUGUGUGUGUGUGUGUGUGUGUGUGUGUGUGUGUGUCCAGAGUGCCUCAGAGAUCGGUUAAGUAAACGUUUAAGAAGAUAAGUAAUCCUAAUUUUUAUCUAACAUUGGAUAACACGCCUCCACCUCUUCACACCUUAACCUUCACCCCUAUCACACCUCGUCUCCUUCACACCUGGACACCUGCUGAUAGUAUGGCCAGGUGUGCUUCUCUGUAAACUCCCCUUUCUUUAUCUUUCUUUGGUCCGAGGCAGUGAAGAGGGAGACAGACAGACAGGUGAUCAAAGAGAAAGAAAGAAAGAAAACACAGACAGGCAACCGAAUAAAAUGAAGGAAAAGUAAAGAAGAGAUUGAAGAGAAAGAAUGGAAACAAGGAAAAGGAAAGAAAGAAAAGAAAGGAAUAAAUGAAAAGAAAAAAGGAAAAGAUAAGUAAUAAGAGAAAGAAAACAGACAGGAAAAGAAAGAACAGAAAAGAAAAAGAAAAGGAAAGAAAAUAAUGAAAAACAAUAAAGAAAAUAAAAAAAAGUAUAGAAAAAAAAGAAAAGAAAGGAAAGUUGGAAAAGAAUGAAAAGAAAGAAAAGAAAAGGAAAACACGAAUGACCAAAGAAGGAAACACAGGUACCCAUUUGCAAUAUAUCACUUUUUCACGCCAUAUUCCAGGUGUAUUUGCUCAUAAUUUCAACACCACUUCAACUAAUCACCAGGAGCCGUCGAGAGCGAGAGGGAGGGAGAGAGAGAGGGACUGGGACUGGCAGGAGUAUAAGUAGAGGAGAUUGUCGACCGGAUACCCCCCAAAAAACUGAUUAAACCUUCGAAUCCGUCUCUCAUUUCGUCACCCCGAUAUCACACUCGCUAUCGCUACGGAAUUCACGCCUGAUAUGAGCCUCCGCUUACUCUUUGUACUCUAUACGCUUACUCAAAUGGCUACUCUUACACCCUAUACUAUGUGGCUGACUCACGACCCGAAUGCUACCACGCUAUGCUCGAGGGACGUUUAACCAAGAAAGAACGGAUUGACUGACUAACUGAAGACCCGAAUACAACCAAGAAAGAGAGACUAGUGUGGUUGACUGACUAACUAAUGACCACGUUAUGAUGGAAGAGAGUUUAGCCAAGAAAAGUCGCCUAGUGUGCCUGACGGAUGACCAAAAUACUGCGUCACUAUGAUCGAGGGAGUUUAACCAAGAAAAAUGGAUGAAUAUAUGAGUGACUGGUUGGGAGAGGUGACGAAAUAGGGGCGGUUAGAAGGGAUAGGUGGACGAAAGAAGAGUUGAGCAAGAAAUGAUUGCAGUGGAGAUUGAUUCGGUGUAUGGCCUAAUCCUUCGACCAUAUAGAGCCUGGUAUACGUGUUUAUUUGUUUAUUUAUUUACUUAUUUGUUUACUUACAGAGUGCUUCGUGUGUCCCCUGAUUCGUCUCUCUUAUAAUGUCUUUUCUAUCGGUAUUUUUCUUCAUAUUUUUUUCUCUUUCAUUCGUUAGUUACUUCACACAACACUCGGUCCCUCUUCCAAAACUCCACCACCACCACCACCACCAUUACCCACCUUCAAAUUACUUAAUGGAAGCUGUGUGCAUACAUUUCCUUUCCUUUUUUGAGGGGCCAUCGAUUAAACGCAAUAUCUCUCUGACGCCGCCGGGAAAAAUGUGAAGGGUUGAGAGAGGGAAAAUAUAUACGAGUAAAAAGUCAGGUGGAGGUGAGUGUAGCGUGCGCGGUGUGCCUGGAAUUGGUAAGUGAUACAGGUAGGUAGAGAGAGGCAGGUGGACACAGGUAAACAGGGAGAGGCAGGUGGGUAGAGAUAGAUGGAUUGGGGUAGAUGAUCAGGGUAAGUGGAUAAAAGCGGACUAUUAGAGGUAGGUGGAUACAGACAGGUAAACACAUUCAGGUGGGCACAGGUAAACAGAGAGAGGUAGGUGGGUAGAGAUAUAUGGAUUGGAGUAGAUGAUUAGGGUAGGUGGAUAAAGGUGGACUAUUAGAGGUAGGUGGAUACAGACAGGUGGAGAGAGACAGGUGAGCACAGGUAAACAGAGAGAGGUAGGUAGGUAGAGAUAAGUGGAUUGGGGUAGAUAAUCAGGGUAGGUGGAUAAAGGUGGACUGUUAGAGGUAGGUGGAUACAGCCAGGUAGACACAGGUAGAUGGAUGAAGAUAAAUGAAUAUAGGUAGUGAGUAGAAGUAGAUGGAUAGGGAUUGGCAGAAACUGGUUAUAGAUGGGUGGAUUAGAGGUAGGAAAGUAGAGAUAGGGGAUAGAAGUAGAUAGACAGAGGUAGUUGAAUAGACAGAGGUGGAUGCAUAUAGGUGGAUAGGGGUGGAUGGUGUGGGAAAGGAAGGUGAGCGGAGGGACAGACAGACAGACAGCGGGACAGGGGCAAUGAUAUAUACAGAGACUUACUGAUGCAUGCAACCACAUUACUUUAUUAUUAUUAUUAUUAUCUUUAUUAUUAUUAUUAUUAUUAUUAUUAUUAUUAUUAUUAUUAUUAUUAUUGUUAUUGUUGUUAGUGUUAUUAUUAGCAUAUAUACAAUAGAGAGAUAUGACAGCCAGGGAGAGAUAAGAGAUGGGCAAACACACACACACGCACACACACACACACACACAAACACACACGCACACAAUCACAUACAAACACAUUAUUGCUAUCAUUAUAAAUACUAUCAUAGGAGAGCGGAAAACAAACACACAAACACACAUACAAACAUAUUAUUAUUACUAUUAUCAUCAUUAUUACUAUUGCCACAUACGGAAAUGAAUUAGUGGAGUAUUUAUAUAUUGAAAAAAGUAAAAAAAAUAAUAUCCUGGCCCACUUUUCCACAAGGCCUUCCCUCCACCGCCUCUGUUUGGGACGAAAUAGUAAGCCAACAAUUUAAUUUUUACUUCUUUUUUUUCGUUUUUAUUUAUUUUUAUUUUUGGGGGGGAAGCGGAAGGGAGCGAGCGAGUGUGUGCAGCAUAUGGGGAGCGAGCGAUAAAAGGGUAAAAUGUGUGUGUGUGUGUGUGUGUGUGUGUGUGUGUGUGUGUGUGUGUGUGUGUGUGUGUGUGUGUGUGUUUCUUUCUACCGUAGUUUUUGUCUAUAUCUCUUUCUUUCUACCCAUUUUCCUACCUUCCUGCCCACCUGCUUGCCUAUCUACCUGCCUUCUACCUAU